UGCGCGGGGGUUUACGAGCUGGCGGGUGGCUGGGCGUGCGCUGGGCCCCCGGCGGCUGGGGCGCCGGGCGGGGGCUCGCGGCGGUCCGAGUCUGGUGACGCGCCCGCGGCGGCCCGGCUGUCCGAGGCCCUGGGCCCUGAAUGCGUGGAGGGCUGCGGCCUGGCCUGGCCUCGGCCAAGUUGUCCGUGAGACCUCAGGGGGCCCCGAAGCGGCCGCCCGUCUGCGAUCCCACGCCGGCACAUGGGGAGAAGGAUUUGAGUGCAUUUAAGUUUAUAGGUCAUCGACUGUAUGCCAGGGAGAUUUUAAUGUAAGCGGGGCUUUCUCUCGUGUGAAAGGGAAAGGCCUCACCGUGCCACCGCGUGUAUGCUUACCCUAUCAAUGUGAAGUCGGUCGGCGUAGAAGUCGAGUGCAUUUCAAGUUUAGAUCUUGACAGCCGUUUCCAGGUGCAGAAGUCGGCGGGAAUCGAUCUAGUAUCACCAACUCUGCAGGUGAGAGAUGGAUGCUUGAAGCAUAGACUGCUGCUGAGUACUGUCUGGGGGCACGAAGGUGACUGACCUAAGGAUGUCCUUGGUGAGGAAUUUGAAAACUUGAUCUUCACAGGAGUUGCGUGGAUCAUUUAAAAUUUCCAGGAGUCUAAGGAGUAUUAAAAUUACUGCCUUUGGACAAUCCAUAAAUAUACAUUUUAAGUGAUGGGGCUAUGAAUAAAUAAAUUAAUGUGCUUCUUGGA